UGAGCCCCUUUUGCCAGGGCGGAUCUUAAAUAUAUUAUUGCCUUUGGUGAGCGAUAUUUUUCCCUCUCUUCCCAAUAAUUUGUACUCAAAAAAGCAGAUAUUCUCUCUCACAAGAACUGAUCAUCUAGCCGGCCCCAUCUCUUCCUGCACCCCACUCUGUGAUGCUGGGCUCCUGGAAAAUACAGGGUUAGAGGGAACUCUACCGAAUCAUGGUGGCCAAUUUAUGUGCCUUUUGUAGUAGAUAAUCGUAUCAUGAAGAUCUGCACUGUCCUUGCUUUCCCUGUGGGCUUUGAUUCUCAGCUGAAAUAGUUAUGCUCAAAUAAAGUUGUUAGUCUCUAAGGUGCCACAAGUACUCCCUUUUCUUUUUGCGAAUACAGACUAACAUGGCUGCUACUCUGAAACCAUAGUUAACAGUGUGGCCAUUUAAUGUGUCGACCUCGGAGUCUGAGGUCAACUUGCCAUUUGGGAUGAAUAGAGCAGUUCAUGCAUCUCGGAGUUCCUGUGUCGGGCUGGGCAUGGGCACUGAUAAUGGCACCUGUUUAAAUUUCUUUCACCUUUUUUUUUUGCCAUCGUUGUUCCAGGGGCUGGUGACCUUUGAGGAGGUGGCUGUGUACUUCACUGAGGGGCAGGGGGCUCUGCUGGACCCCAGACAGAGAGCCCUCUACAGGGAUGUCAUGCAGGAGAAUUACGAGACAGUGACCUCACUAUGGUGUCUGAUUUCUAAGCCCCACAUGAUCUCCCAGCUGGAGCGAGGGGAAGACCCAUGAAUCCCAUGCCUCCAGAGCUCAGAGAAAAGGGAGAGUCCAGGGGUACCUGCACAGGGAAUGACUUGCAUUUGGGGUUUCUCUCUAUCCCAGCAAGUGACUUGAUGGUGGUUGAGAACAAGGAGGAGAAUUCUCAGUAGGACGGCUCUGAGCCAGCAGAGCCUCAUGGGACAGUGUCAAUAAAAUCCGAGGGGAAUGUGUCCCUAAGCCUGGAAUGGGGGGAAUUGCAUGGGGUGCCAUCAGUAAAAACCAAAGGGAACUUUUCACAGAGUUGUGAGCAGGGAGAUGUCUGUGAACCUCCGUGUGGAUCAGAGAGGCUGCAAGAACACCAGCUGGGAAUGAGUCAGGCUAAACCCACUCAUGACGUGGGAGGUUUGGAGGAACUCAACAAAAGCGUAACCCAGCUGAGCAGCCUGAUGGGGGAGAGACCCCACAGGUGCGCUGAGUGUGGGAAAAGCUUUAGUUGCAACUCGCGCCUUAUCCGGCACUGGAGGAUGCACACGGGGGGGAAAAACCCUAUAGCUGCACUGACUGCGGGUUUAGCUUCAGCCACAGUUCCUCUCUCAUCCGGCACCAGAGAACCCACGCGGGCGAGAGGCCUUACAAGUGCCCUGACGGCGAGAAAAGUUUCUGCAGCAGCUCGGCGCUCGCCAGCCAGCACAGGCUGCACACGGGAGAGAAACCCGAUGCCCGCUCCGCCUGCGGGAAGAGCUUUAGCUGCAGCUCGUCCCUCGUGACACAUCGGCGAGUCCACACGGGCGAGAGACCCUAUCCCUGCCUGGGCUGCGGGAAGAGCUUCUGACAGAGAUCCAACCUGGUUGUGCAUCAGAUACUCCACUGUGUGAAUAGACUUUACAAAUAAGCAAAUGCCCGUCCCAUCCCCAGAGCAUUUGCAGUUCUCAGGAAUGCCAGGGGGCAUUCGGUCACUGGCAGCCUGUCUCUGGGGUCAGGAGACAGCAGUAGCCUACUCCAGCCCGAUCGGUACGCUCUCUGGCUCGGCAGGUGGAGGAGGAGAGACUCCGGUCGGCUCCGCCUUCCUGCUGCAGCCCCAGCUAAGUCCUUUGCUUCAUGGCAGGCGAGGAAAGA